CCAGUAACGGCGAGUGAAGCGGCAACAGCUCAAAUUUGAAAUCUGGCCCCUUUGGGGUCCGAGUUGUAAUUUGCAGAGGGAGCUUUUGGCGUCGGUCGUGGUCUAAGUUCCUUGGAACAGGACGUCACAGAGGGUGAGAAUCCCGUACGUGGCCGCCGGCCUUCGCCUUGUAAAGCCCCUUCGACGAGUCGAGUUGUUUGGGAAUGCAGCUCUAAAUGGGAGGUAAAUUUCUUCUAAAGCUAAAUACCCGCCAAAGACCGAUAGCGCACAAGUAGAGUGAUCGAAAGAUGAAAAGCACUUUGGAAAGAGAGUGAAAAAGCACGUGAAAUUGUUGAAAGGGAAGCGCUUGCAGCCAGACGUGCCCGCGGUUGAUCAUCCAGGCUCCAGCCUGGUGCACUCCUCCGCGGGCAGGCCAGCAUCAGUUCGGGCGGUCGGAUAAAGGCCUCUAUCACGUACCACCCCUCGGGGUGGCCUUAUAGGGGAGGCGCAACACGGCCAGCCCGGACUGAGGUUCCGCGCAUCUGCUAGGAUGCUGGCGUAAUGGCGGCAAGCGGCCCGUCUUGAAACACGGACCAAGGAGUCUAACAUCUAUGCGAGUGUUUGGGUGUCAAGCCCGAGCGCGCAAUGAAAGUGAACGGAGGUGGGAACCCUCACGGGUGCACCAUCGACCGAUCCUGAUGUCUUCGGAUGGAUUUGAGUAAGAGCAUAGCUGUUGGGACCCGAAAGAUGGUGAACUAUGCCUGAAUAGGGUGAAGCCAGAGGAAACUCUGGUGGAGGCUCGCAGCGGUUCUGACGUGCAAAUCGAUCGUCAAAUUUGGGCAUAGGGGCGAAAGACAAUCGAACCUCUAUACUGUCC
rnacentral:rRNA from 1 species